rfam:Triticum aestivum genome assembly, contig: Triticum_aestivum_CS42_TGACv1_scaffold_295614_4AL
CAACUACUCCCUCUGUCCCAAAUUUCUUGUCUUAGAUUUUUCUAGAUACGGAUGUAUCUAAUACUAAAAUGUGAUUUGAUACAUCCGUAUCUAGACAAAUCUAAGACAAGAAUUUUGGGACGGAGGGAGUACUUU